AGUUAUAUGCUACAAUACAAACUCUUGUAUUUUGCAUUGCAUCAGCUGCUCGUCGACCAUUGAGGUGGAUAUAGUCAAUCAUUUUUUUUAUUGGUUUUUUUCCAUUCGAGAAUCGUAUAAAUGAAACUGAUUUCAAUCAAUUGAUUAAAAUUCUCAUUAUAUUCACCAUCAUGAAUGAUUCGAAUACUCAAAAUGAAUCAAAACAAUCUGUAGAUUCAUCAGUGAAUAAGCGAAAAAAACAAGACAUUGAUGAUAAAGAUGGUAAAAUUUUCAAAAAACCAAAAAACAUUCGAAAUUCUCGUUCGAAUGAGAUAUUGAAAACAAAUGGCUCUACAACAAUGAUGAUAAAUGAAUUUUCAAAUGAUGAAAAACCUCGUCAAAGAAAUUUCCACUCACUUGAUCAAUAUACUCGACAUAAACUGUUGAUUAAUUAUUAUUGCCUUACACAUCCUGGUAGUCGUCAUCAAGUUUUUCAACGAGAUCAUUCACAGGAUAAAAGUGACCUGCAGAUUUUGAUUGAAAAUCAUCGAUUUAUUUGGCCAGACGAAGAUUUACAAUCAAAUCAAUUAACUUGGGGACAACGUGUAGCAAAAAAAUAUUAUGAACGUUUAUUCAAAGAAUAUUGUAUCAUCGAUCUUAGUCUUUUCAAGCAAAAUAAAUUUGGAAUGCGUUGGCGAACCGAACCUGAAGUAAUCGGGGGUAAAGGUCAAUUUAUUUGUGGUAACAAGCACUGCUCGAUACCAACCAAUUUAACUUCAUGGGAAGUGUUAUUUGGUUAUGUUGAAAAUGGAGAAAAACAUUCAGCAUUGAUCAAAGUAAGACUAUGCCCCGAUUGUUCCACGAAAUUAAAUUAUCAUCGACAACAUAAAAAAGCAAAGAAAAACAAAAAGAAUGAACGAAAAUUGAAACGGAAAGAAUCAAAGAAUCAAAAACAAAGUAUGGUGAAAGUGAAGGAAGAAAUCCUUACAUCGGAUGAUGAAGUUGGUUUUUCCAAAAAUCCGGGAUCAUCAUCUUUGCAACAUGAUCAUAAUAAUGAUGAUAAUGAUGAUGAUGAAACUUAUGAACAAUUGAUCGAUAAAAUAUGGCGACAACCGAUAAAAUUAGAAUUUGACAAUGAUAAUGAUCAAGAAGAAGGGAAAAAAUUGGAAAAUGAACUUGAUAAUUAUUUGGAUGAAUUUUUCCAAUAAUAACGUUUUAUGUGUGUGUAUACAUAACCAUUUAGACAAGAUUUCACAAUGCUGAAAUGUGUGCGUCGGUGCAAACUAUUUGGAUAUUCUGUUGUCAACAUAAUCAUCAACAAAUCUGGAAUUCUCUCAUUGAAUUUAUUUACAUAGCGAUGAGUUUUUGACAUUAUUAUUGUCGUUUGAGCCAAUCACAAGAGAUUACAGGAUCGAUAUGGAAAAAAUGAAUGAACAACAAAAAACGCAAAAAAAUUUCAAAGAGGAAAAUAUUUUCCUCUUUGUUCCAAAUUUGAUUGGCUAUGCAAGAAUCAUUCUUGCAUUGG